rnacentral:lncRNA from 1 species
ACGGAUCCCUAAACUUUCACUAAUAUUCAUCCAUUUUUCACUUCUUGGGGUACCUUUUUUUUCACAAAUUUAGCAGUUUUAUGUGAAUUUGAACCGGGUCGAGCUCAAUUUCGGGUCAUAAAUUCGGGUUUCCAAAAGGGUCUUGCUUAGAUCUGAAAAGUUUCAGACUUUUUCACUUCUUGGGGUUCAUUUUUCAGUUCUUGAAUUGCAUUUUUUGAUUAAUGUAGCAUUUUUAUGUGAAAAAUAUGAAGUGGGUCGAGCUCAAGUUCGGGUCAUAAAUUCGGGUUUUGCUUGGAUCCCAAAGUUUCAGUGUUUUUUCAGUUCUUGAAUUGAAAUUUUAUUAUGUAAAUUCGAUUUUUAUGUGAAAAUAUGAACCGGGUCGAGUUCAAUUUCGGGUCAUGAAUUCGGGUUCUAUGAUGGGUCAUAAACGGGUCGAACAAAUGGGGGAAAGGGUACCUAAAAGGAUGUUUCUUGGAUGUCAAAUGCCAAUAGUAUUACUGGUGGGUGGAAAU